GUAGGGGGCGAGCGUUGUCCGGAAUUAUUGGGCGUAAAGGGCGUGUAGGCGGUCUUGUAAGUCGGACGUAAAGUCUACGGGCUCAACCCGUAGCCGCGUUUGAUACUGCAGGACUAGAGAGUGGUAGAGGAAAACGGAACUUCCGGUGUAGCGGUGAAAUGCGUAGAUAUCGGAAGGAACACCAGUGGCGAAGGCGGUUUUCUGGGCCACUUCUGACGUUGAGGCGCGAAAGCUAGGGGAGCAAACGGGAUUAGAUACCCCGGUAGUCCUAGCCCUAAACGAUGCUCACUAGGUGUUAGAGGUAUCGACCCCUCUAGUGCCGCAGUUAACGCGUUAAGUGAGCCGCCUGGGGAUUACGACCGCAAGGUUAAAACUCAAAUGAAUUGACGGGGGCCCGCACAAGCGGUGGAGCAUGUGGUUUAAUUCGAUGCUACGCGAACAACCUUACCUGGGUUUGACAUGCUAGUAGUAGAAACCUGAAGGGGUAACGAUCUACCUUUGGUAGAAGCUAGCACAGGUGCUGCAUGGCUGUCGUCAGUUCGUGUCGUGAGAUGUUGGGUUAAGUCCCACAACGAACGCAACCCCCAUUGCUAGUUGACAGCGUUAAGUCGGUCACUCUAGCGAAACUGCCCCGGAUGACGGGGAGGAAGGUGGGGAUGAGGUCAAGUCAUCAUGGCCCUUAUGCCCAGGGCGACACACGUGCUACAAUGCCGCGUACAAAGGGAUGCAAAUCCGCAAGGAAGAGCAAAUCUCAAAAAGCGCGGCUCAGUUCGGAUUGAGGGCUGAAAUUCGCCCUCAUGAAGCUGGAAUCGCUAGUAACCGCAGAUCAGCGCGCUGCGGUGAAUACGUUCUCGGGCCUU
rnacentral:rRNA from 1 species